rnacentral:rRNA from 1 species
GUGUCAGCAGCCGCGGUAAUACGGAAGGGGCUAGCGUUGUUCGGAAUUACUGGGCGUAAAGCGCGCGUAGGCGGCUUGGCGAGUGAGGCGUGAAAGUCCUGGGCUCAACCUGGGGACGGCGUUUCAGACUGCCUGGCUUGAGUCCGGAAGAGGGUGGUGGAAUUCCGAGUGUAGAGGUGAAAUUCGUAGAUAUUCGGAGGAACACCGGUGGCGAAGGCGGCCACCUGGUCCGGAACUGACGCUGAAGUGCGAAAGCGUGGGGAGCAAACAGGAUUAGAAACCCGAGUAGUCC